GGCGCAGGCGGGAAAGAAAGUCAGAUGUGAAAUUUCGGGGCUCAACCUCGAAGCUGCAUUUGAAACUUCUUUUCUUGAGGGUAGGCGGAGAAAACGGAAUUCCACAAGUAGCGGUGAAAUGCGUAGAUAUGUGGAAGAACACCUGUGGCGAAAGCGGUUUUCUAGCUUACACCUGACGCUGAGGCCCGAAAGCUAGGGGAGCAAACA
rnacentral:rRNA from 1 species